rnacentral:rRNA from 1 species
GACGAACGCUGGCGGCGUGCUUAACACAUGCAAGUCGAACGGAAAGGCCCUGCUUUUGUGGGGUGCUCGAGUGGCGAAGGGGUGAGUAACACGUGAGUAACCUGCCCUUGACUUUGGGAUAACUUCAGGAAACUGGGGCUAAUACCGGAUAGGAGCUCCUGCUGCAUGGUGGGGGUUGGAAAGUUUCGGCGGUGGGGGAUGGACUCGCGGCUUAUCAGCUUGUUGGUGGGGUAGUGGCUUACCAAGGCUUUGACGGGUAGCCGGCCUGAGAGGGUGACCGGCCACAUUGGGACUGAGAUACGGCCCAGACUCCUACGGGGGGCAGCAGUGGGGAAUAUUGCACAAUGGGCGGAAGCCUGAUGCAGCAACGCCGCGUGCGGGAUGACGGCCUUCGGGUUGUAAACCGCUUUCGCCUGUGACGAAGCGUGAGUGACGGUAAUGGGUAAAGAAGCACCGGCUAACUACGUG